AUGUUUAUGGCUGUUGCAAUCUGGGGUUCCUCCACUGGGACCGUUUUGCCAUUGUACUCCAAGUAGAGCUCUAGCCCUUGCCUUGCAUGGUUCUGCAACCUGAUUAUAAGAGGUACCCUGGUGCAAAUGCCCUGGCUACGAGGAAGGUUAACACCAGCCAAGGAUUCAAGAACACUAGACUUGCCUGAUGACUGGUCUCCAACCACAACAAUUGUGGGGAGCUGUAUGCCUUCUUUCAUCACCAUGAGCAGCCUGAGCCUGUCGAUGACAUCAAGCAAAGGUCGGAUUUUGUCAUUGUAUGAUGAAAUAAUUGGGGCUUGGGCUGCUGCUGCUCCCACCACCUUAGGUUCUUCCAUAGGAGGAGUUGCUGGUUGAGAAUCUUCAUAAUCAUUGAUGACACCAAUGCUCCCUGAAUCAGCUUCAUCAUAGCUACCCAUUUUUUAGAAGUCGAGACAGGAUGGGAAUUGGCCAAACUUGAUGUUUUAGAUGGUUUUUUUUGUUGGAAGUUGGAAAGCAAUAAACUUGAACUAAAGUGAAGACAAAUUCAAUGAAGCAUGUUUGGCUUUAUAAUGAAAAUUAAAAUAGGGUAAAGCACCGAAAUUAGGAACAAUAAAGCGAUAGCAUCCUAUACCAAACCCCAAGAAACAAGCAAACGAAGCUACAAUGGGAAUGGAAAACUUUAUGUUAUACUUUGAAUUGUAGAAAAUAAUGAUACAAGGACAGAAGAGAGGAAACAGAACAAAAUCAAAUCGUGACCAACCAAAAGAUGAGUGUGUCGAUGACAGAAAGUUCGAAACAUAAACAGCCCCACAAGUUCCUACAGGAACUAGACAGCAGAACUAUAUGAAACAAUGUAUUCACAUUGAAGUUUCGGAUAGAUGCCACGUACAAGCCAUGUUGCCAUUACCUCAUAUGCUCUUUGUGUCAAAUGAGCUCCAUCCCAACUAAGCUGUUCAUUAGGGUUUUCGCAUACCGGUACUUUUGGAUCUCCGCACCAACUUGAUAAGCCAGAAUUGUAGUCUUCCCCAAUUCCGCAGCAAGCUUUUUGCAAUGAUGUUGGAUCAAAACCAGAUGAGAUUUUUCGAAAACUCAGAACAUGACUAGAACCAUUCACAGUACGAUCACAUAAACUUAUGGAUGCAAAUAAAUCAGACUUACCAAGCAGAUCAGCUUUGCUCAAAAGCCACAGGAAUGCAUUGUAGUAGUCACCGUAGACAACGAUUACAUCUGGAUGUUUUUCUUUUAGCUGAUCAGCAAUAGCUUGUUGAAGAAGAUGAUUAUGAUAGAUUGAAAAAAAGGCUUGACUUCGUCCCUUUCGUAUACCUACUCUAAGACAAAAAAAAAUCAUUUUAUUAAUUAAGCUUUUUGUUUAUUAAUAAUUUGUUUUUUUUUCAAAUUCAUUAAAUACAAUUAAAAACAUUUGGAAGAAAAAUCUAAUGGUAGACUAGAUAUAGUUAAGAUAAUAUCUAACAGAGAGAUCGAUGUUCGAGUAUUUGUUGAAGUUCCUACGUAACUUUUAAUAAUUUUACAAACGGAUAGAGAUAAUAGUUUAUUCGAACAUUUAUUUUUAAUAGAGUGAAGAAACCCAAUUAUUUAAUUUAUGGGUAAACUACAUAAAGGGUAACACAAGUAUAAAAAGUUACAAAAUGUUCAUCUAACUAUUCAAUAUUGUUUUUUUAGAUCACCCGGCUAACGGUGGCUACUUUUAAAAUUUGAAUAAUAGAAAUUUAACCCUCAACACUUAUAUAUUGUAUCAAUUUAGUCUUGAUUCUAAAAAAAAAAUUUAACUCUCAACAUUUACACAUUGUAUAAUUUGGUCUCUCUUUUUGUAAUUUUGCUUUUCUUUGUGACAUUUAGUGUUAAUUUUAAAAGAAUAAGAAAAGAAAAAAAAUAUUAUCUUAGAUUUCUGGGUGCUCCUAUUUUUUAUAUAUUUUUAAUCAAAUUUAACUGAUAAAUUUAUUUUUAACUUUUUAAGUGAAAGGGUAAAGAAAAACAAAGUUGUACUAGAAAAAAGAAGAUCAAACUACCCAAUGUAUAAAUGUUGAUAGUUAAUUAUUUCUGGAAUCAAGAUUAAAUUGACAUAAUUUAUAAAUAUUGAGGGUUAAAGUUGAUAUUAUGCGAAUAUUAAAAGUUGCCACCGAUGAUCAGUAACCAAAAAAGACAAAACUGAAUAACUUAGUGAUCAUUUUGUAACUCUUCAUAAAUUUUAGUACAAAAUUAAGUGAAUGUUAACGUGUUUGAGGCAAAUCUCGAUGAACAUGUCAUGCAACGCAUAGCUAAAGGGGUAGAUAAGAGCUUUAGACCUCUUUUAGUUAAAUGGUAUCAUUAUGAUUAUAGUGCCUCUUAAAUGUCAAUUGUUUAAUUUAGUUCCUUUCUAGCUUUUAUUUAAAUGGAACAAUUGUAAUUUAGACCCUUUUCAAAUGUUUAAAUUUAAUUUCAGUUAUUUUAACGUAAAAUAUUUUAGCUUUGUCCCCUAUUUUUUUAAUUUUAUCUUGGCUCUUCAUCACAUAAUUCAUGACUGACAUAUAUGCCAUAGGUCAUAAGAUUGAGUCAAACUAUGCAAAAACUCUUUAGUUUCACCUGUUUGAGCACUUCAAGGCGUUCUCACUCUCUAAACCCACCAAGGAUCUAGACAAAGUCGGGAGACAAAACUCCGACUGGGGACAAUACUGGACUUGCUUAUAUCUGCUUUAUAGUUGUAUUUGUAGCAUACAAUGUAUAUUUUGUCAAAUUUGAAUACUUCUUGUUUGCUUGUCUAUUAUUCUUUUGAUAGAAGAUACAACUUUCUUUAUUUGUAUGUCCAUAUAAUUUGUUACAUUCGAUCUGUGAACCAUAUUUGACCUUCAUAUUGUCAACCAUGCCACUUGUUCAAUGGAAAAUUACCUUUGUUGAUUUGUUCUUGGUUGACAUUAAGUUCAAGGUUCGAAUCAGGAAAACCAAUCUCUCUCCCCUUAUUAUAUUUAUGUAUAUACAUGUAUUUGACCUUCAUGUUUGUUGGUGAGAAAAUGGUACAGAGUAAAUUGAAUUUUGCUUUUUGUUUGGUGUGUUUCCUAGGGAAAGCUUUAUGGAAGCCAACAAGAAUGGAAAUUUGGUUGAUGUUGAUCGGAAGGCGUUCGAAACUUGGAAAAAAUGAGCGAGGAGGUAUAGGUCCCUUGCUCCUCCCACUUUGUCAUAACUUUUCAUUGGAAGUUUUCUGUUGUAAUUUUGUAUUGAGUAUCGUCCCGAGUAUUUUCUUUAAUAGGAGAGGAAACCAUAUGUUACUCAGCCUACAUGAAGGAUAUGACUGAAGCGGAUAAAAAUAUUGUAAAGGUAACUGGGAUUCAGAGUUUAUGGAUGCUAAUUUCGUAUAAUUUAAACUUUCUAGAGCGACCUAAAUAUGUUGUUGGUGUAAUUGGUGAAAUUGUUUGUUGUGCUUUCAUAGCAAUGCUGAUACAUUCUGAAUAUUUGAUCAUGGAACUUGUUCCGUAGAUUCUUAAUUCAGAACUAUGAAUAGGGGCAUACUAAGGCAUACUAAAGAUGCAUGAUUUUGAACUCAUGAUCCUCUCAUCUUUACAUAAUCUAUGUUGCCACUCGGUUUUCUCCCUAUCGUUGUCAAUUAUUGUCAUCACAAUUGCUUUUCAAUGAUUUUUUCAGUUAGAAUUAGUAUCUUUUCCUUGUUUUGUCCACAAAAGCAAGAAUGAUAUAUGAUAGCUGUGAUUUAUCUGACAAUUAGCUUCUCUAAAUCUUUCACCCUAAUCAAUUGUCAAAAAUUUGCUGUUCUAGUGCUUAUUGGCUUCUCGUUUUUAACUUGAAAGUUAACUUAUCUAUUGUUCAAACAUCAAAAUGGAACAAAGUUUUGCAUCAUAUUCGAAGUUAUUAAUGAGUUAUUUUCUUUAGGUGGAUGAUGAGGCUGAUUCAGCAAUGGUUGGGAAAUUUGAUGAGGUUUGUAUAUAUGUUUGGAGCACAAAAAACAUAGCAAAUAUAGAUAAAUUUACGUAUUGUAUAUCUACUUGUGCUUAAACUAAGUCAUUCCCCUGCCAGUUGAGGCUCUGAAACCUUUGGGCACUGAAGUUCGAGUUUCACUAUGUAAAUCAUGUGUUGGUUCUCCCCCAGAUUUAUUUUGUUUACUUAGUUAGAGUUGAGUUAGCUUCAGUGAAUGUAACGAUUGAUUAUGUUAGUUCCCCCCUCUUUUGCCACCUCUUCUUCGUUGAAUUUACAGUUCUAUGAAGAUUAUGGGUACUAUGAAACAUCUGAUGAUGAUGGUGAACCAUACCACUCUGGAGGAUUCAAGAGCUUAAACACAACUGAACAGUAAUCGAAGUCUUCCCCACAUUUCAGUUCAAUUACCUAACUUAACCGCAAUCAUAUAUUGUGCACAAGACCGAUAAGUUAUGGCUUUCAUGAAGCAGGGAAACUGCUAUCGAGGGCGGAACUUGAAGAUGUUCUGGUUUUUGUUUCAUGUCAAUGGACCUUAUCCAACUGGCAAUGGUGGAAAAAAAAAGUUUGCCAUUUUGAUUCAUUUGUUAAGGCAAAUCAUUUGGCUAUUGUAAAGUAGUUAUAGGGGUUUUAGCCUUCGAAGCAGAUUGGUAUUUGUUUUGCUAUUUGGCAGUGGCAGUGGCAAUGGCAAUGGGGGUUUCACAGGUGAGUGGCAAGGGCUAUAGAGGAAGCAUCAUUUUGUCUAUAUUUUUUUAGUUUUAUGGAAUUUGGUUGAUGGAAUAGGUGAUAUGUUGGGUUGGAUAAAAUAAUCUAUAUUUUAUUGAAGUUAUGUUUGUUUUUAUCUGUUAGAAAAUUGAAGAAUGAUAUUAGAAAAUAUUUAGUCAAAUAAUUUGUAUUAAUAAUAGUUAAUUAUGCCUUUGUGGCUAAGCUCAUGGAAAUCAUUUAAAAAUAAAAUCUAAUAAAUAAUUAAACAUAUGAUUUAAAAUUAAUAAUAAUAACAAAGUAAUAUGUACGAAAUUUAAAUAGGUAAAUACAUUUGAUUAAGCUUUAUGUUCUGUUCUAAAUUUGGUUUCUUAAUACUUCUUCUGAAUAAGUUGGUGUCGAGUUGAUUCAUGAUACCAAUUUAGUCACAUGGUUAAAUAACUAUAUAGAUACAAAAGUUAAAUAUUUAAGAUGAUUGAUGCCUUCUGAACAUAACACCAUUUAAAUUUAUAUAAAUGUAUGAAAAUACGAAAAAUACUCAAUAACAAUAUUUAUUAAUAAUUUAAAUUUUGAUUUUUUUUAGUUUUCUUUUAUUCAAUUGGUGUCAAGUUAAAUCGUGACGCUGAUUCAGUUACAAUAUAUAGAAUAUGACGUGAGUGACAGACCAAUUUUAUUUAAAAUUUUAAUAUAAAAUAACAAUAAAGGUUUGAUUGAAACGGAAAAAUUAAAGAUUUAAGUUGCUUGAUGUCUUAUGUAAAGGUUUAAAUCGCAUCAUUUGCUUAUUUCCUUAAGUUUAAGUUGUUCCUUAUAACUUUUAUAAAAAUGUGUGAAAAUACAAAAACACCCUAUGAUAAUGUUUAUUAAUUGUUUAAAAUUUGAGUUUUUAGUACUUCUCUAAUUAAAUUAGUGUCGAGUUGAUUCGUAACAUCAACUCAAUCACACUUAAAUUAAAGUUUCCAUACAUAGAACACCAGGUGGGUGAGAGUGAUAGACGAGAUUUAUGAAAAAAAUUCAUGUAAAAUAACAAUGAAGUUUCGGUUAAAAUAAUAAAUUUAAUUUGUAAUAUUUAUAAUGAUAAAUUUACACAGAAUACUUGCCAUUUGCAUAUUUUUUAUAAGUUUAUUUUAUUUUUUAAAAUAAAGUUUAUAUAAAGGUAUGAAAUGCAAAACUACCUUAUAAUAAUAUUUAUUAAUCGUUAAAAUUUUGAUUUUUUUAAUACUUUGUCUAAUCGAGUUGGUGUCGAGUUAGUCAAUGAUAUAAUUUAGACAUAUAAUUAGACAACAGUGUAAAAGUGUAGAUACAUAGAUCACAAUGCGCGUGAUAAGCAAAUUUUAUGUAAAAAAAAACUCAUAUAAAUAUUAUAUUAAUAGAUGAGAACAUCUGUAUUUAAUAAUUAGACAACAGUGUAAAAAUGUAGACACAUAGAUUACAAUGGGCGUGAUAAGCAAAUUUUAUGUAAAAAAACUCAUAUAAAUAUUAUAUUAAUAGAUGAGAACAUCAGUAUUUAAAAAAAAAAAUCCAGAAAGCUGAUUGCAUACCAAGGCUUGGAACAUGGCAAUCAUGGUACACAAAAAAGCCAAAAAAAAUUUAGCAAUAAGAUUUCAUAAAGAUAUAAAUUGUUUACAACAGUAAAUUAACACAAGAAAAUAAAAAUAAAACAAAGUAGAAAACUAACCCCCACCCCCAAUUUGCCGUCCACAGUAGUUGUGACCUUAUUAUAUAAUCUUCAAUCCUUAAUAAUCUAUACUAUAUAUAUAGAACACAGACACUUAAAACAUGCAAUAAGCAAACCAUGAUAAUGACCCAAAUUUUAUGUGAAAAUAUUAAACCAAGCAAGCAUCAUAAGCAACAAUCCCAUCCAUGAUCUUGGCCACACUAUCUUUGGACUCCUUUAACACCUUGAUGCUGUUUUUAAGCUUCUCACGCUUUGCAACAAUGGCAGGAGAUUCCACCAGCAUCAUCUUUAUCCCAUGUCCAUCUGGUCCCAUCAGCUCCUUCACAAUCUCAUCAAUGUCAUUGUGUACAAGAUUAUGAACAUGGUAUCGUAAAUGCAAUGCCAUGGAAUCAACCAAUCUCACCUUAAAUACCUUCCAAUAAGCAACCAUUCUCAUCUUCAGGUCGAAAGCUUGUUGCAGGAUCGAAACAUCCGAGUGUUUUCUGAGAUGUUCGAUUUGGAUUUCCCCUAAACCUUCGAGAUCCACACUGCAAGGCAGCGGCCGCAUGUUUGUUCCAGAUAUUUGGUUCAUGAAAUGGUCUUGUUGCUUCAUGAGCUUAUUCCACUCCAUCAUGUAAUCAGGGUUACAUGUGUAGCCUGUUAGCUUCUCCAUUUCUACAAUCUCUUUCACCCUAUUGAUUGAUUGCUCCCUCAGCUUUUGAACAAGGUUGUGAGCAGCUCCUUUUGCGGAUACCUUGAGGUGAUAAUACAUUUCCGAGUGGCGCGUCAAAACAGACAUCACCACAUCGUCUAUGUAAUCCCAAUACUUUUCGCUGAGUUUGAUAGGGAGAUACGAUAUCCUCUCGACUUUUCUCCGUAAGAUACGAAGGAAUGCUUCACAGGGAAGGAAGUUCGGUAGUUCGAUCCCCCUAGCAUCUUCCAAACCCUUGAUCUCUUCUGUUAAAAAGUCUUUUGAUAGAUUACUUUCCUCGCAGUUGUGAAGCUCAUCGGAGAACCGGUUCAGCAUUUCAACAAACCGAGCAGUCCCGUGCUUCGUGUUGUCCUCGGGGUAUUCAUCAAAUUCCCCCCUCCAAAGAAGUUUCUUCAGGGAUUCUUUAGCUGCUUGAAUGAUCCUCAUCAUAGCUUGAGUGGCAUCAGCAAUAGAAGUUAAGGCCUUUGGCAUUUUCUCUAGCUCUGAAACAUUUGCAUCCAGCUUUGCACUAAUGUUUUUAACAAUCUCUGGCAAGCACUUUGCAAUCGCAUUAGCUUGAAUUCGGACAAGAUUUUGAGCCAAAACAUGAACCCCCACAAUUGAUUUAUCAAUACGUGACAAAUGUGCAUUAGUUUCGAACAAUCUAGCCUCUUCCUUCCUUGCUUCUUCAUAGGAUUCAUCACCAAUCCGAUUCCGAACACAAACAUAACCAAGUCCUAUAUUCACAUCAUCUGCAGUAACCUUGUCAACAAGCCCUUCGGGGGCCCUAUCUACUUUAGUAACCACGGCAAGAGUUCUCUCACCAUUCUUGUCCACUUGUUGCGACAUCCUAAUGGAUUCACAAGUUGAAAAAUCAACCGUAGCCGACAGAACAUUAAGGAUAAUGCUUUCCUUUGGUGUUAUGUACUGCAUGAUGAUGUCCCGGAUCUGCUCAUAUAUGUUGUCGGGCUGACCAUGGACAGGAACUCUGGUAAUUCCAGGAAGAUCAACCAUGGUAAGAUCAGGAACCCCAUCUUUUCUCACCACCAAAGUCAAAGGGAUGUCAGAUAUGCUCUUACCCGGGCCUGCAACCUCAUCCGUUGCAAUGUUUAUGGCUGUUGCAAUCUGGGGUUCCUCCACUGGGACCGUUUUGCCAUUGUACUCCAAGUAGAGCUCUGGCCUUGGACUUGCAUGGUUCUGCAACCUGAUUAUGAGAGGUACCCUGGUGCAAAUGCCCUGGCUACGAGGAAGGUUAACACCAGCCAAGGAUUCAAGAACACUAGACUUGCCUGAUGACUGGUCUCCAACCACAACAAUUGUGGGGAGCUGUAUGCCUUCUUUCAUCACCAUGAGCAGCCUGAGCCUGUCGAUGACGUCAAGCAAAGGUCGGAUUUUGU
rnacentral:lncRNA from 1 species